rnacentral:rRNA from 1 species
UUGAACGCUGGCGGCAGGCCUAACACAUGCAAGUCGAACGGUAACAGGAAGAAGCUUGCUUCUUUGCUGACGAGUGGCGGACGGGUGAGUAAUGUCUGGGAAACUGCCUGAUGGAGGGGGAUAACUACUGGAAACGGUAGCUAAUACCGCAUAACGUCGCAAGACCAAAGAGGGGGACCUUCGGGCCUCUUGCCAUCGGAUGUGCCCAGAUGGGAUUAGCUAGUAGGUGGGGUAACGGCUCACCUAGGCGACGAUCCCUAGCUGGUCUGAGAGGAUGACCAGCCACACUGGAACUGAGACACGGUCCAGACUCCUACGGGAGGCAGCAGUGGGGAAUAUUGCACAAUGGGCGCAAGCCUGAUGCAGCCAUGCCGCGUGUAUGAAGAAGGCCUUCGGGUUGUAAAGUACUUUCAGCGGGGAGGAAGGGAGUAAAGUUAAUACCUUUGCUCAUUGACGUUACCCGCAGAAGAAGCACCGGCUAACUCCGUGCCAGCAGCCGCGGUAAUACGGAGGGUGCAAGCGUUAAUCGGAAUUACUGGGCGUAAAGCGCACGCAGGCGGUUUGUUAAGUCAGAUGUGAAAUCCCCGGGCUCAACCUGGGAACUGCAUCUGAUACUGGCAAGCUUGAGUCUCGUAGAGGGGGGUAGAAUUCCAGGUGUAGCGGUGAAAUGCGUAGAGAUCUGGAGGAAUACCGGUGGCGAAGGCGGCCCCCUGGACGAAGACUGACGCUCAGGUGCGAAAGCGUGGGGAGCAAACAGGAUUAGAUACCCUGGUAGUCCACGCCGUAAACGAUGUCGACUUGGAGGUUGUGCCCUUGAGGCGUGGCUUCCGGAGCUAACGCGUUAAGUCGACCGCCUGGGGAGUACGGCCGCAAGGUUAAAACUCAAAUGAAUUGACGGGGGCCCGCACAAGCGGUGGAGCAUGUGGUUUAAUUCGAUGCAACGCGAAGAACCUUACCUGGUCUUGACAUCCACGGAAGUUUUCAGAGAUGAGAAUGUGCCUUCGGGAACCGUGAGACAGGUGCUGCAUGGCUGUCGUCAGCUCGUGUUGUGAAAUGUUGGGUUAAGUCCCGCAACGAGCGCAACCCUUAUCCUUUGUUGCCAGCGGUCCGGCCGGGAACUCAAAGGAGACUGCCAGUGAUAAACUGGAGGAAGGUGGGGAUGUCGUCAAGUCAUCAUGGCCCUUACGACCAGGGCUACACACGUGCUACAAUGGCGCAUACAAAGAGAAGCGACCUCGCGAGAGCAAGCGGACCUCAUAAAGUGCGUCGUAGUCCGGAUUGGAGUCUGCAACUCGACUCCAUGAAGUCGGAAUCGCUAGUAAUCGUGGAUCAGAAUGCCACGGUGAAUACGUUCCCGGGCCUUGUACACACCGCCCGUCACACCAUGGGAGUGGGUUGCAAAAGAAGUAGGUAGCUUAACCUUCGGGAGGGCGCUUACCACUUUGUGAUUCAUGACUGGGGUG